GACGAACGCUGGCGGCGUGCUUAACACAUGCAAGUGGAGCGACGAACCAGGCUUCGGCCUGGGGCAGAGCCGCGAACGGGUGAGUAACACGUGGGUAACCUGCCUCGAUGACUGGGACAACCCGAGGAAACCCGGGCUAAUACCGGAUGUGCUGUCUUCACAUCAGUGGAGACAGGAAAGGAAGCUUCGGCCUCCGCAUCGAGAUGGGCCCGCGGCCCAUUAGCUUGUUGGGAGGUAAUGGCUCACCAAGGCCGCGAUGGGUAGCUGGUCUGAGAGGACGAUCAGCCACACUGGGACUGAGACACGGCCCAGACUCCUACGGGAGGCAGCAGUGGGGAAUCUUGCGCAAUGCGCGAAAGCGUGACGCAGCAACGCCGCGU
rnacentral:rRNA from 1 species